CACUCCUGCGGGAGGCAGCAGUGGGGAAUAUUGGACAAUGGGCGCAAGCCUGAUCCAGCCAUGCCGCGUGAGUGAUGAAGGCCCUAGGGUUGUAAAGCUCUUUCACCGGUGAAGAUAAUGACGGUAACCGGAGAAGAAGCCCCGGCUAACUUCGUGCCAGCAGCCGCGGUAAUACGAAGGGGGCUAGCGUUGUUCGGAUUUACUGGGCGUAAAGCGCACGUAGGCGGACUAUUAAGUCAGGGGUGAAAUCCCGGGGCUCAACCCCGGAACUGCCUUUGAUACUGGUAGUCUUGAGUUCGAGAGAGGUGAGUGGAAUUCCGAGUGUAGAGGUGAAAUUCGUAGAUAUUCGGAGGAACACCAGUGGCGAAGGCGGCUCACUGGCUCGAUACUGACGCUGAGGUGCGAAAGCGUGGGGAGCAAACAGUAUUAGAAACCCGAGUAGUCCCA
rnacentral:rRNA from 1 species